rnacentral:rRNA from 1 species
GACGAACGCUGGCGGCGUGCCUAAUACAUGCAAGUAGGACGCAGUUGCGAACGGGUGAGUAACGCGUAGGUAACUACCUAUUAGAGGGGGAUAACAAUUGGAAACGAUAGCUCAUACCGCAUACUAGUAGAUGGACCUGCGUUGUAUUAGCUAGUAGGUAGGGUAAUGGCCUACCUAGGCAACGAUACAUAGCCGACCCGGGGAGGAGGUCGGCCACACUGGGACUGGGACACGGGCCCGACUCCUACGGGGAGCAGCAGUAGGGAAUUUUCGGCAAUGGGGGGAAACCUUACCGAGCAACGCCGCGUGAGUGAAGAAGGUUUUCCGAUCGUAAAACUCUGUUGUUAAGGAAGCGGUACUUAACCAGAAAGGGACGGCUAACUACGUGCCAGCAGCCGCGGUAAUUC